AGUGUGUGUGUGUGUGUGUGUGUGUACGUGUACGAGACCAGUGUGUGUGUGUGUGUGUGUGUGUGUGUACGUGUACGAGACCAGUGUGUGUGUGUGUACAAGAACGCUCAGAGUCUGCUGCGGUUUUCAACAGUGAGAACACUGACCGCCAUUACACACCUGAACACAGUCAAGUCCAGGAAACUCCCUCAGCAGUCUGAAGUAAGGGAGUGAGGUAAAAGCCCAGUAUGAGCAAAAGGCAGGAGGCAACAUCACUUAUACCACUGGGCAGAUGUCAAGCUGCUAUAAAUAUAUCAUUAUUGAUCUUAAAGGGCAGUGAGGAGGUUGUGACCCUGCCACCAGCCUGUUUUCUCUGGACUUAGUAGUUUAAGGUGAGUUAGCAUUCUCAACAAUAAACAUUAGUAAAUAUACUUGUCAGUAGAGGUCAGGAAUGACCAUUACACAUUUACAUUCCAGUCCCCAGUGUUAGAGAGCCAGGUUCUCCUAGUGAAGUUGUCAGACAACGUAUGCGUUUUUAUUUGAGGUUUUAACAUUUUUAUGGACUUAAAGGAACAGUAGAGAUUAAGAGAUUAAGGGUUUCUGACACUUUUUCAUUUUUCAGACACUUUAUUUUUGCCUGUUUGUGUUUCUUGCUGAUGAAGAAGAGAAGAGUGUUCAACCUCAGAGACAUUUAAUAAAGUAGAGACAAUACAUGUGAAUGAAAAGAAAAUGUGAUAUGAGAUUUCUGAGGUUUUUGAACCAGAGUGGUUGUGUGGUGGAGGAUGGCUGAGGAGGAGCAGGUCAGCAGGUAUGAGAGAGUCAUCUACGCUGUGCUGCUUUAUUAACUGCUAUUUUAAUUCUCAGUGAGGACACAGGUCAUGAUAUAAUUGAGCCACGGAACUAUGAGAUUUAUAGAACCUUUCUGAAGCACUGUCAUUUGGUCCAUCAAGUGUUUGUGGAUCCCUUUGAACAUUUUUCCAUGUCUCAAAUAUUCAAGUUCUCAAAUAUAGCCAUUUUAGACUCAAACCAGUCAACAUGCUCAUUUUCUCUCAAAUCAUCAGGUAAUUGUUCUUGGACAAGCUCAUGCACAACCACGCUUGCCACAAACUUACAAAAUCAGGCAUCCAACAGGCCACAAUAUGCACAUAAACACUUCAACAGCAGCUCCAAGAAAUACAUUUCCCAAGGUUACUCACAAACUGGAUGAGUUCCAAAUCCUUUCAAAGCUGUCGAUGAAAUCUGUGAAUGGCUUGUAGAGUCCAAACGGUGGCCUUGGUUGAGCCUUUCACAUGCCACAUUGCAGAAAAAGCAGAAAAAUCUCUUUAGUUCUCCUUUUAAGUUGUUAAUGUUGAAAUAAACACAUGUUCAGGGUCACGUUCAUAUUUUUGUGAGACAUUGUUACUGAUGGAAUUUAAUUAUUUUUUGUACAGAAGAGAUCAGCAUUAAAAUGAGAUCUAUUUAUUAAAGGAUACUUGUACCUAUUAAAAAACAUGCUUAUGUUAACAUCCUUAUAAGAACAUAUUAUAUUUUGUUCAAUAAAAAAAUUUUAUCUACACUUAUUUCUUUAGUCUGGCAAAAAGCACUGAUUCAUGCUUAUAGGUAUUUAAUUGUCCAGACCUCAGCUGGUGAGGAGGGUUCAUUUACUGGACCUCAGACCGUUUUAGUUGAAGACCGCUGGCUCAGCGUUAGAGCUGAUCAAUGAACCCGACUCUGCUUGGUCAAAGACAUUACAGGGAUAAAGGGAGCUGGGUUCUACAUGAAUUUUAAGAGUGAAGUUGAGCUCUGGUGAGAUCCUGCUUUGCAUCAGUUGCAUAUAUAGACACAUCAAAGGCUUAUUUUUUCAAUCUAGUACAUGUCACUCCACAGCACAAGCUAACCUUCUACUACAAGAAGUCUUGAGCACACCAGGGGCCUCAUGUACAAAGACUUGCGUUGAAUUAAUACUAAAACAUUGCAUACGGAUAAAGCUGUAAAUGUGCGUAUGCACACAAAAAAAUGGUGUAUCAAAGUGUGUACGGAGAAUCCCACGCAUAUUCUCUUUGUACAUCCCAAUUAACUUGAAAUUGAGUGCACAUCAAAACCCCACCCAGUCUCCUCCCUCAAAUAAAUUAAUUUAAAUAUGUAAUGAGUCCACUUUGGCAAAAUCAAACAGCAAGAAAAUGGCAAAAGCAAGCAAGAAACGAAACUUUACAGAAAAUGAAUUGGAGGUGCUACUAUCAGAGGUAGAAACGAGGGAAAAAAUCUUUGGAACGUUGUCCUCUGGAAUUAGUAACAAAAGAAAAAAAACUGAGUGGGAGAGUUUGGCUGACACGGUCAACGCAGUGGGAUCUGAAAAUCGCACUGUACCCGAGAUUAAAAAGAAAUGGUCUGACAUAAAGGUGGAAGUUAAGCGGAGAACUGCUGCACACAGACAAAGUGUGGACAGAACAGGCGGUGGUGCAGGGGUCAAUGAACUUACACCUUUUGAGCAAAGAGUUGCCUCUAUUGUGGGUGACAUUUUACUCUCUGGAACAGUAUCCGCUGCUGUGGGAGACUCGGAUUUACUACAUCAAUGCCCCGAAGAUGGUGCAAUAGCAGGAGCGUCCACUGGCACGCACGAGGAGUCCGUGCCUCCUGAGCAGCCAGUGCCUAUUGUGUCCGGUGUGUCCGGUGUCUCCGGCGUUUCCGUUGCGCCCCCCAGUGCUGAGGCCCAUCAGGCUGGCCGCGUCUUGACCAAUGCUGUUCUGGAGUCACAACAGCAAAUCAUUACGGUCAUCGGGGAAAUUAAUAGUCACCUGAAAAAUAUCACUGAUGCACUCACAGACAUAAGCCACUCAUUAAAGGAAUUGGUCAAAAAAUGAACUUUGUCUCUGCUUACCAAUUAUAUUACCACAACCACACGUUGACGGGCCUGAAUGGCUUGUUGGUUGGGCUGCACAUACACUGGUUCUGGAUCGGGGUCAUCUGGCGGUGCCACAGCCUCACCAAGUGGUAUGCUGUGUCUGUUCGCGACAUUGUGCAGCACACCACAGGCCAGCAUGACGCGGCACACCUUGUUAGGGCGGGAUAGCAGCAUCCCCCUGGUCCUAUCAAGGCAGCGCCACCGGCAUUUCAGCUGCCCAAUCACCCACUCUACAACUGACGCUCUCGGUCGGUUUGUGGGUUGGUGAGGGGGGGUUAACAGCCACGUCUUUAAUGGAUAACCGCGGUAAUAGGCAGUUGAAUAAUUAAACGCACAAAAAAAUAAACACUACACUUAAAUAGAACCAUCAAUGCAUCACUCACCAAGAAGCCACCCAUUGCGCACCCUGCCAGCUUGGAGCCUCAUCCCAACCAUGCUGUUUGUAAGGAUGUAUGUAUCAUGCGUUGACCCAGGCCACCUUGCCACAAUAUUUGUUAGGUGCAUUUGUGCAUCACAUAUUAUUUGCACAUCUAUUGAAUGGAAAUGUUUCCGAUUCAUGUAUGCAUAUUCUUCUUCAGAUGGCGCCUUUAUUACAUUAGGAAAACCGGCUAUCGCUGCAAAUUGUGCUUUAAUGUUUGGCUGGUCAACUGCAUCAUAUGGGAACCUUAUAUACCUGGUGGACAUGCGGAUGAUCCCAUCCCAUACAGCUGGCAUUGCGCGGCUCAAAGACGACUGGCUUAUUCCUGAGCAGUCUGCCAGUUCCCUUUGGAAAGAACCAGUUGCCAGGAAACCAAGUGUUGUCAGCACCUGUAAGGUAAUGGGUAAUGUGUGGCUCCUUGCUGUCUGUCUCUCCAAAUUCGGACCCAACUCAGCACAGAGCUCCAAGAGGAUAGUCCUUGGAAAUCUGAAUCAGCUGAUAAGCCAGUCAUCAUCGUGGUCCAGAAAAUCACUGUGGUCCCUAAAAACUCGUUCUCUUCAGAUUCGGCCAUUGGCAAUGUCCUCUAAUAAGGCCAACGCUGCCAUUGUCAUAGACUAAGGGUUCUUUAAAUUUGCACAUGCUUUUAUAUGUUCUUACUUAAUUGCAGAAAUAUAUGAUGUCAAUUAGCCUAUUUUAUCAAUUAAAAAUUAAUAGCAAUGUUUCUCACAGGUGUUGGUGCGAUAGACUUGUAGAAUAAUUAGUAGUCUAAUGUUUGAAACUUCACUUUAUUGCCUCUAAGAGGUGCCAAUGGACAAAAAACAUGAAAAAUGUAUGUACGUCAGACACAAAGUUGGCGUGAAGGAACACACAUUUUCACGUUAAUUUCUCUGUUAGUAAAUCCGACCGUGAGCGUGAAAGCUGGCGUACGCAAGGUUUUUGUGCGUAUGCAGCGUUGAUACAUGAGGCCUCUGGUCUAGGAUUAUGACUUUUCGUCUAUAAGCUGCUCAGAUGUUGCUGUAUAUAACAGUGGAAUGGACUUGAGAGUUAAGUGGAAUCUGUUUAUGAUGAAACUGCAAGACGCUGAACUAGUGGGAUUAAUCCUGUUCUAUCGGGCAGUGUUAGAGGCUUGGACGGUUCUCUCCAGCUCAUGUUUACCUGACUCACCUGCUGGGGUGUGGCUAAUGGAGGAGCUUCUAUUUCUGAAAUUUUUGAACCACAUCUUUUAUCUUUACCACUCCAGAACUGGUUUAUUUCAAAAGAAGAGGAAAAUAAAAACGUAAUAUAACCUGCAUGAAGGUCUGUCUUGCAGGAAGUGACAGUUCAACAAGGUGGAUCGAGUUCUUGGCUCUGACUCCUCCCCUAAAGGCUGCUGGAGGUCACUGUAUAAUUGUCCGAUUGACAAAGACACCCGACCUCCAGUGGAGGAUAGUACACAGGACAAUUGCCACAGACAGACAUUGGGUGCACCUCGGUCCUGCGGUCAGGGUGGGCUGCCCUUUCUUUCUUGAACCAGAGUCUUGUUUCAUUUUUUUAUACAAUGUUGUCGUCUAUGCAACUUCAGAAAGAUGUUUAAGGUGAUUAUUUUUGGACGGAAGUAUACAGUAAAGAAGAACAGUGAUGUGAUUCUACUAAAUCUCAUAACUGGAACAGAAAAGCUAGCUGUAUGGACAGUGAGGAAGAUGUCAGGACAGGGAACAGUGGUACAGAGUACAUUUUGUUUUAGCUUUCUGACUGACCCAGUUAAGGAGGAUUAAACCUCAAAUCUCUCUCUCUCUCUCUCUCUCACACACACACACACACAGAUUUUACCCCGACGUUGUGAUUGUUGUCAUGAUUUGAUCCUCAAAAGUAUUCACUAAUCCAGAAAGGCUGCUACACAAAACCCAGCUUUCAGCAGGUCUGAAGGCAACAUGACAGGAUUUUAAAAUCAAAUGCUAACAGGAAAACCGGUUGGUGUUGAUGGUGGUAGUGGUGGUGGUGUUGAUGGAGGUGUUGGUCUUGUUGGUGGUAAUGGUGCAGUUGGUGUUGAUGGUGGUGAUGGUUUUGGUGAACAUCUACAGAACAUCUCUCCACUGUCAUGGCUGAUCUGAGCUACUGCAGCAUGUCAGGGUCAUCAAAAAGACUUAAACAUGACUCACAGGAACAUUUAACAAUUCAACUUUAUUCAAAAAUUGAAAAAUAACUGAAUAAAGUUAAAAAAAAGAGCAGGGUUUUGCACAGGAGAGUCUGUUAGAUUAACUGUCCAGCAGGAGGCACUGUGUGUUUUGUAGCAUUUAUAAAAUAAGAGCUUUAUAAUGAAAUCUGUGUGUCUGUGGGGGAUCUUUACUUUUGGUCAACAUUGAAAUUUCUGAAGUGAAUUAAAAAUUUAACUGAAUGGAAGUUUUGAAAAAGCAGAAAUAUCAUUAAAGUAAUCCGAUAUUAAAUCUUUAAUUAAUUUCCGUUUUUUGUUGGAUUUUUUUAAAAGCAUCAUACUUUAAACAGAAAGCAUGAAAACUUCACAUACCACAAUCCUUCACUUCGGCCUCUUCAGCUUGUUGCUUAGCGACCGUCCUCUCUCUGAGCUGCGAGAGCACGUGUCCUCACAGCGUCCUGUCCUCAGAGCCUCGCUCUCCCUCACAGCGUCCUGUCCUCAGAGCCUCACUCUCCCUCACAGCGUCCUGUCCUCAGAGCCUCGCUCUCCCUCACAGCGUCCUGUCCUCAGAGCCUCGCUCUCCCUCACAGCGUCCUGUCCUCAGAGCCUCACUCUCCCUCACAGCGUCCUGUCCUCAGAGCCUCGCUCUCCCUCACAGCUCCCUGUCCUCAGAGCCUCGCUCUCCCUCACAGCUCCCUGUCCUCAGAGCCUCGCUCUCCCUCACAGCUCCCUGUCCUCAGAGCCUCGCUCUCCCUCACAGCUCCCUGUCCUCAGAGCCUCGCUCUCCCUCACCGAGGAGUGCUUCUCACCCAGACCGAGGUUCAGGACACGCCCAGGCGGAGAGGGGAAGAAGGAAAAAAUCAGCUACAAUAAAUGAUUCAAAUAACGACAAGAUACAAGUGCUGUAGAUGUACUCUGAUGUGCAUCACUGUUGCUAUAGCAACUUCAGAUGCAACAAGAGUGAAGCGGGUCAGAGGUUUGUUUACUCUUCAGGAUGUUUCUGACGUCUUUGCUGUGAUUCAGGAUGCAGGUCCACCAGGAUGUCUGGACAGAGCAGGGAAGUCUCCUUAAUAUACCACCUACUGAGGGAACAGAUGCUCACAGAGGAGAAGUGGCUAAACAUGUUUAUUUAAAAAUAAUUACUGGAACUUUUUGCAUUAGAAUGAACAACUAAAAGACAAAAGCAAAAAAAUAAUUUAAUAAAAUAAUAAUAAUAAUAAUAAUAAUAAUAAUAACAAAAAAUAGAACAAUUUCUGUGAUUUGUCAGAGUUAAGGUCAGUGAGGAAAAUAUGUCCAAAUCCCCAUGAACAGGAAGUCUGAGGAUUUUCUGCUUCACUUCUGAAACUCAGAUCUCACUCUCCUCAUGGUGUAGCAGGAUAAAUAAAUGUAAAAAAGAAAAGGUAAAGCAGCUCAAUAAACAGGCUUUGAAUAAAUAAAUAAAUAUUUGACUGCAUUAAUUUUGUGUAAUUCUGUGUACAGAUAAAUUGUGUGUGUUAAAGUAAAUUUGUUUUUAAUUUCCAUGUAUUAUCAGAAUCAGAAAUCAGAAUCAGAAAAAGUUUUAUUGCCAGGUACAGCAAAGGGUCAGCACAGAGCACUUUACAGUACUAGGAAUUUGUCAUGGUGUCAGGUGUGAACAUAUACACAGGUAUGAAAUGUCUGUACAAAUAUACACAAUUUUAGAAAAGAGCUAGAGUAUAUAAAGUAUUCUGUUACACUGGGCUGAUAUUAAACUCUCCAUGUGGUUUUAGUAAAACAUUUACACACACACACACACACACACAUCUCUCACUAUUUGUUAUUAAGGACUGAAAUCCAGAGUAAAGUUCAGUGUCACAGUCCACUCUGUUCAACACCUCCAUCAGCUGCAGCCCCUGGAGCAGGACAUGAUGAUGUUCAGGAGGUUUAUUCCUCCUAAAAAACACAACAGCUUUAGGAGGCGACUGCUCUCUCCUCGCCGCAGGAACGUGCUACAUCAUGCCGUGCCUCAGGGUGAGUCUCUGAAACAGAAGAGUGAGAGCAGAGAGGAGUCCAUCCUGACCAUCCUUGGGAUCUCAUGCACCGUCCUGAACCUCCUGGUCAUCAUAUUCGUCUACAUCUACACCUCCCUAAUGAAGUGCAGCUUGUUGUGUUACUGUGGAGUCAUAAAGCAUGACUGAAAGCCAACUGGAGCAAAAAAUCAGCUGACCUGAGAGAGAGAGAGAGAGAGAGAGAGACAGACAGAGAGAGAGAGACAGACAGAGAGACAGAUGGAGAUAGUGAGAAACAUCCGAGGAGCAGAGUGAUGUAGGAAGUGAAAGAAGAGAAGGAGUGAAUAUGAGACAGUGGAGAUCAGGACAUCAGGACACACCUGUUUCUCCUUCAUUAAUGAAGUCAUGAAAUAAUUCUGUAAUAAAAUGGAGGAACUUCAGCAGAGACGAGACGUCAGAGUGUCACUGAGAGCUGAGGAAGAGUUUAAUGAGAGAGAUUUCUGUGUAAUAGAGGUACAUGUGGUCAUGUGAUCAUGUUUAAUACGUUUGGUCAUGUGACGUGGUCAGAAGACAUGAACAUGACUUCACUGCUUCAGUGUGAGAGGAGAGUCCUAACACUGUGAAGAUAUCAGAGCAGAACCUGAAAUAACACCAGCACCAUGGAGUUCACACACACACACACACACACACACACACACACACUGUAAAUACAGCUCUGGAAAAAAAUAAGAGCCCACUGCAAAAUCAUGAGUUUCUUGUGUUUUUUUCUUCCAGGGUCAUGUAUUGGUCAGAUGAAGAGUUUUGUUUCAUUUUUUGUGAACUGCUGACAAUAUUUCUCCUAAAUUCAGAAUAUAACUAUUGUUAUUUAGAGAGUAUAUUUAAAGGAAAUGACAAAAACAUCAAAAUAACCCAAGAUCAUGCAGUAUUAGCAGAGCUUUAAUAACUCAAAUAAAACAAAAUAAUAAUAAUAAUUAUAAUAAUAAUGAUUUGUAAACAGAUUGUGUUAAUGUUUUGGAUAAAUAUCAUUAAGAGAUCAGUAUUUGGUGGAAUAACCCCGAUCUGCAUGUGUUCUGGCUCCAUGCUCUCCAAUUAUUACUCCAUAACCAGCACUGUUUUAUUGUAGUGUUUUAUUUUGUUGUUGUUGUUGUUUUGUUGUUGUUGUUGUUGUAUGUGGGUGUUUUAAAUAAAGUCAUCCUUCCCUGUGAGUUAGCACUCUCUUGUUA